rnacentral:rRNA from 1 species
CAGCCGCCGCGGGAAUACGAAGGGGGCUAGCGUUGUUCGGAUUUACUGGGCGUAAAGGGCGCGUAGGCGGACUGAUAAGUCAGGGGUGAAAUCCCAAGGCUCAACCUUGGAACUGCCUUUGAUACUGUUUGUCUUGAGUUCGAGAGAGGUAAGUGGAACCGCGAGUGUAGAGGUGAAAUUCGUAGAUAUUCGCAAGAACACCAGUGGCGAAGGCGGCUUACUGGCUCGAAACUGACGCUGAGGCACGAAAGCGUGGGGAGCAAACAGGAUUAGAUACCCCCGUAGUCCCUGUCUCUUAUAA